UACGGGGGGUGCGAGCGUUGUCCGGAAUCACUGGGCGUAAAGCGCGCGUAGGCGGACCUGCAAGUCGGGGGUGAAAGCCCGAGGCUCAACCUCGGAACUGCCUUCGAUACUGCGGGUCUCGAGUCCGGGAGAGGUGAGUGGAAUUCCUAGUGUAGAGGUGAAAUUCGUAGAUAUUGGGAAGAACACCGGUGGCGAAGGCGGCUCACUGGCUCAUUUCUGACGCUCAGGCGCGACAGCGUGGGGAUCAAACAGG
rnacentral:rRNA from 1 species